rnacentral:rRNA from 1 species
GAUGAACGCUGGCGGCGUGCCUAAUACAUGCAAGUCGAGCGAACAGAUGAGGAGCUUGCUCCUCUGACGUUAGCGGCGGACGGGUGAGUAACACGUGGAUAACCUACCUAUAAGACUGGGAUAACUUCGGGAAACCGGAGCUAAUACCGGAUAAUAUAUUGAACCGCAUGGUUCAAUAGUGAAAGACGGUUUUGCUGUCACUUAUAGAUGGAUCCGCGCCGCAUUAGCUAGUUGGUAAGGUAACGGCUUACCAAGGCAACGAUGCGUAGCCGACCUGAGGGGGUGAUCGGCCACACUGGAACUGAGACACGGUCCAGACUCCUACGGGAGGCAGCAGUAGGGAAUCUUCCGCAAUGGGCGAAAGCCUGACGGAGCAACGCCGCGUGAGUGAUGAAGGUCUUCGGAUCGUAAAACUCUGUUAUUAGGGAAGAACAAAUGAGUAAGUAACUAUGCACGUCUUGACGGUACCUAAUCAGAAAGCCACGGCUAACUACGUG